GAUGAACGCUGGCGGCGUGCUUAACACAUGCAAGUCGAACGGUGAAGGCGGAGCUUGCUCUGCUGGAUCAGUGGCGAACGGGUGAGUAACACGUGAGCAAUCUGCCCCUGACUCUGGGAUAAGCGCUGGAAACGGCGUCUAAUACUGGAUACGAGCUGCGAAGGCAUCUUCAGCAGCUGGAAAGAACUUCGGUCAGGGAUGAGCUCGCGGCCUAUCAGCUUGUUGGUGAGGUAACGGCUCACCAAGGCGUCGACGGGUAGCCGGCCUGAGAGGGUGACCGGCCACACGGGGACGGAGAAACGGCCCAGCCGCAUACGGGAGGGAGCGGUGGGGAAUAUUGAACAAUGGGCGAAGGCCUGAUGCAGAAACGCGGCGGGAGGGACGACGGCCUUCGGGUGGUAAACCUCUUUGAGCAGGGAAGAAGCGAAGGUGACGGUACCUGCAGAAAAAGCGCCGGCUAACUACGU
rnacentral:rRNA from 1 species